rnacentral:lncRNA from 10 species
AGAAACCAAAUUGGCUGGCGCCUUGAUCAUGGACUCCUGGGCUCCGGAACUGUAAGAAAAUUUGUGUUGUGGAAGCCACCCAGCCCAUGGUAUUUCGUUAUGGCAGCCUGAGCAGAGGUGGUAGCUAUGUGGACAGUUUUUGGACUUCUCUAUUGUAACACAGGAGGCAACACAGAUUCUUCAAGUCUCACAGCUACUCCCUAGGGAUCACUGGGGAACUUGGAAAAAAUCUAUUGGCUCAGCUAGUGAGCGAUCACUUCCUGUACCACUGUUCUGAGGGCGGACUUCCAGCUCAGGAUCAUGCGAGGGCAUUUUGUUGCCCUUCAUCACUCAGCAGUGAAGAAUGAAAAUCAACAGAGCUUUCCCCAGCCUGCUGCUUAAGCAGCUGCUAGCAGGCUGAGGCUGCCCAGCCUCAUUAACCCAUUAGAUGCUGCGUUCGCCCGGGAGUCAUUCUUAAUGAGGCUGCUGCAGAUGAGAAAACAGAAGCAAAGGCAGAAAGAUGCUACAUUGCCAGCUUUGAAGAUGGAGGGAAGAGGUCACAAACCAAGGAAGCAAGACGGCCCUCACCAGAUGCCAGCACCUCCUGUGAUAUUGGACUUUCCAGCCUCCAGAUUCAUGAGAAAUAAAUUUCUAUUGUUUAUAAAUUA